CCUACGGGAGGCUGCAGUGGGGAAUAUUGGGCAAUGGAGGAAACUCUGACCCAGCAACGCCGCGUGAAUGAUGAAGGUCUUCGGAUUGUAAACUGCUUUUAGUUGGGAAUAAAAGGGGGCUCGUGAGCCCCGUAUUGUAUGUACCAUCAGAAAAAGGACCGGCUAAUUCCGUGCCAGCAGCCGCGGUAAUACGGAAGGUCCGGGCGUUAUCCGGAUUUAUUGGGUUUAAAGGGAGCGUAGGCCGGCUUUUAAGUCAGCUGUGAAAGUCCGCGGCUCAACCGUGGAAUUGCAGUUGAAACUGGAGGCCUUGAGUGCACACAGGGAGGCCGGAAUUCAUGGUGUAGCGGUGAAAUGCUUAGAUAUCAUGAAGAACUCCGAUCGCGAAGGCAAGUGUCCGGGGUGCAACUGACGCUGAGGCUCGAAAGUGCGGGUAUCAAACAGGAUUAGAUACCCGGGUAGUC
rnacentral:rRNA from 1 species